AUUAUUAAUAAGUGAGAAACUGGGCAACUGUUUUGGUACUUCAUAUAAUUGCUGCAUUUUUCUGUCGUAUCUAUGGGAUCCAACUCAGACUGUAGCUGGUGGCCGCCUUUGGUCUUUUUGUCCUGAGUGAGAUCAGUUAGCUCUGACAGUCUCUGGAGGAAUUUGAGAAGUGUGAAGGUUGGAAAUGAAUCAGUUAUGCAUCAGCUACAUUUCAUACUCUUGUCCUGAGAGUAAAGCAGUUAUGGGCUGGGCUCCUUGUUCCAGAAUGACAGAUAUGGGCAUCUGCUGCUAAUCUAUACUUUAUUAAGCUGAAAGAUUCAUUAACUGCCUCUGUUUUUGGAGCAGUUCCUGAAACAUUACACUUGAACAGUUCAACAUGUUUUCAAAUUUGCUUAUUCUCAUGGAGGUACCCAACUAAAAAUAUCAAUCUCCUGGAUGAAGCCCACAAUUCCUGUAUGAACUCUGGAGGAAAAGAAAACUGCUCUUGAAGAACUGGGAUGGAAGAGGUGUGGCUUCAGGAAGAGAUUACCACUUUGUCCAAUGAUUUUAAGGAAUCCACUGACUCAGCAAAGUUCCUGCUAGGUUUUCAAAAGAACUGAUGCAAUUUGUGUAAGCAAUAAGACUUUUUCUGCAAAAACUCAGCUUUCACAAAGACUUAUGUGAAACAAAACCUCCUGCACCACAUAGAAGUGAUAGCACAGAGAGGAACUGACACAUCAUUAGAGCUUUUUGAAGGGUCUGGUUAAUAGUUAAAGAGAGAAAUGACUAUGUAGGAUAAAUACAUGCAAAUAUGCUUCUUAAAGGUACUAACUUUUAACUCCCAGUGAUAGUAGUGUAGAGCACUUUGAGAUAGUUUGAGAAUAAUGGCA
rnacentral:lncRNA from 1 species